rnacentral:rRNA from 1 species
UACGUAGGGUGCAAGCGUUAAUCGGAAUUACUGGGCGUAAAGCGUGCGCAGGCGGUCGUUCAAGUCGCGUGUGAAAGCCCCCGGCUCAACUGGGGAGGGUCACGCGAUACUGAUCGACUCGAAGGCAGGAGAGGGUAGUGGAAUUCCCGGUGUAGUGGUGAAAUGCGUAGAUAUCGGGAGGAACACCAGUGGCGAAGGCGACUACCUGGCCUGUUCUUGACGCUGAGGCGCGAAAGCUAGGGGAGCAAACGGG